rnacentral:rRNA from 1 species
AUUGAACGCUGGCGGCAGGCUUAACACAUGCAAGCCGAACGCGCCCUUCGGGGCGAGUGGCAGACGGGUGAGUAACGCGUGGGAACCUACCUCAUGGUACGGAAUAACUCAGGGAAACUUGAGCUAAUACCGUAUGUGUCCUUCGGGAGAAAGAUUUAUCGCCAUGGGAUGGGCCCGCGUCGGAUUAGCUAGUUGGUGGGGUAAUGGCCUCCCAAGGCGACGAUCCGUAGCUGGUCUGAGAGGAUGAUCAGCCACACUGGGACUGAGACACGGCCCAGACUCCUACGGGAGGCAGCAGUGGGGAAUAUUGGACAAUGGGGGCAACCCUGAUCCAGCCAUGCCGCGUGAGUGAUGAAGGCCUUAGGGUUGUAAAGCUCUUUCGCCGGUGAAGAUAAUGACGGUAACCGGAGAAGAAGCCCCGGCUAACUUCGUGCCAGCCGCCGCCGUAAUAC